ensembl:snoRNA U8 U8 small nucleolar RNA
ACAUCAGUGAGGUAUAUCCUUACCUGUUGUCUUAGAAUUAAGACUUCAGAACAUGAUGAUUGGAUUCUAUGAAUGUGUGAUUAUAUUUCACAUUUAUCAAGAAACAGCAACAUCUUGAUGAAUCCUGUCUGAU